ACUGAGAGAGACAAGAGAGAACGAAGGCUGAGAGGAAGAGCCCCUUUGUGCUUUAGGUAACAAGGUCCGGGAAGACGAGAGAGUGCAAUGGCGCUUGCUGUUUGCAGACACAGGUAUGCCUGUGCCCUCGCUCUGGCUUCCUAACCUUCUGGCCAUGAAACCUUGGGUGACUCUCCUCCUUCCCUAGGCCUCCAUGUCCUCACAUGAGUCCCCAGCACCUCUCCUUCAAACUGGUUGAACAAGGUACAACUUAGCCUCCCAGGUAAAACAAACCACGAAGACUGCCUAAACUUCAAGGUGUGGUGGAGCACAUAUAGACUCACAGCACGAGUGUGUCCUUCAUAAAGAUACCUACACAUAGGGACUCACAGCACGAGUGUGUCCUGCAUAAGGAUACCUCUGUUGUUUAAGACCUUCCUCCACCCAAGUCUGUCAUACCCUGGAAAGGGUCCCCAAAGGAAUGGGGCAGAGCUGGUGUGGCCUGGCUUCCCUCUAGUGUGGGGCAAAGCAGGGUGAUAAAUACCAACCAGAGGGUGAGCUUUGAGGCCACACAGCAAUAGGUUAGAAUCUAGGCUCCACCAGUGACCACCUUGGGAUCUUGUGGGCUAUGGGCUUUGUCUCCCUGCCCUCUGCAGUGUCAGCUUCUACAUCCAUUACACUGGCACAGUCACAACCCUGUGGGGCUGGGACACACAGGACAUUUCCUCCCGACAGGAUCCAACCCCAGCCUCUAAGUCUGGCAUAAUCAUCACCCUCUGAGGACGAGCAGCUCCCUGUCCCUACUGGGCGGAGUUGGGACUGCAGCUGCAGGAGACUGGCCUGCACACACCAAGGAUGGCAGGCGUUCUGCCUCUGCUGAAGGUGCUCCCUUAGAUGCUUUGCCCUCAGUCCUCAACAGGCUCGGCUACACAUCACCUCUUCCACCGCACCCCUCUUUUGCCCCCUGCCUCUCCAGUCCCUGUCAUUCUGCUCACACUGGGUGGUAACAGUCUGUUUUCCUCCACUAGACUCAGAGCGCUUAUAAGUGGGGACAGGCAAUGCGGCUGGGCAUGUGCUGAGGGAACUCCUGUUGGGCAGACCUGGCUAGCCCAACCAUGAUUCCUGCUCCACAACCCACCAAGCCCCACCACAAAUGGGCAUGGCGGGAUGGCGGGAGACCAGAGAGCCUUCAUUGAUGGACACAGUACUACCCUGCCAGGUCUACUUCAUGGCAGGCCCUCUACUUCACCCUUCCCCACCAGGACCCCCAUACCUGCUUACUGCAAGGCCCCAUCCUCCACGUCUGUGUCCUGGCUGUGCUCCUGAAAGGAGGAGACAACAAGGACCACACAUCACUCACGGCAAGUCUGUCCUGCCCUGGGGCCCAGAGCAUAUGUGGAGGCCACAUUCGGAAAGGGGGAGGGGCAGUCAAAGGGAAUAACUAGAGAACCAGUUUGAAUAAAUAAGGCUGCCUCGGGAUUCCAACAGGACAGUCUUGAAGGCCCCUCAGGAGAGAAAGGACCAGUCAAGGAAGUUCUAGGCGUGGCAGGGGACACAUUCUCCAUAGAAAGAUCUUCUCAGACUGGAGCAGACUGAAAGCCUAGUAGACUGCUGAGCUCCCCAUCUUAGGAACAUCUAAGCCUUCAUUAGGACCUUUAUGGAGACUAUGCUUCAAAAGAGUAAAAUGGGGUCUCUGGCUAGGUUCAAAUAAGAAGAGACAGGCUGGGCACAAAGACCUUUCUCUCCACUGUUAUGUCCACAAAACCCAUCUAUCCUCAUACCAAGACCCAGCCACAUGAAGACCCACUGACGUCCAGGCUCCAAUCCUGGCUCCACCCUCAUUAGUCACAAAGCCCUGGGACAAGCUACUUGACUCCUCUGAGUCUCAGCUUCUUCAUGGGGUAAAUGUAACAAGAGUAAUACUUUGAACAGUUCAGGGCUACUGUUCAGGUCAAAUGAAGUUAAAAACUGUGAACUACAGGGCCUGGUGUUCACUAAGUAUGAGGUAGAUGAGUAGCAGGCACACCUCGCCUUCAGAAUCUGGGCGACCUUUCCACUUAAGAUGAGCUCCUUGCCUCAAUCUGAAGAAUUCCAAUACCAAACAGGAAGCUUGCUCGCCCUGUCUUGAGACAGCCUGUGUCAAGCUCAGGCAACAAUGGCUUUUAGAAAAUCCUCAGGUGGAGCAGACCCCUGCACUGCGUGUGGCUUCCCCAGGCAAUCCCCCUUCUCCUGUUCCUGGAAUUCUGCAGACCAUGAGCCCUUGACUCUUCUCUUCUUCAACUCAUGUGGAAGAUGGAGUCUAGAAUGGGCCUUGGGAUAGAGAGAGGUCCACCACAGUCCUCUGUGGGGUUUCUCAUUGACAGCUGAAAGAGCUAAGUACUCUCUGUUCAUUUCCCCCCCUUUCUCACAGGAUUAGAACCCCUGGCAAGGAAGGAGGGAGCUCACAGGGCAGCCAAGCAGUCAAGAGGUGCCCCCCCACUCCCUGCAGCCCUCCUGCAACCAGAGGAUGGUAUCUGUCUUUCAAGGUGUAUAAAUGUGAGUGCUUUACAAUCAGAUUUCCUGAGUGCCUGACCACAUGUGCACACCAGAAUGACUGUGGAGUAGCGAGCCUGUGUGGACCUGUCCUUGUCCUGACUAAAAGAUGACACCAUUUCCUCACUGAACUGCAAGUCACAGCACUGGACACAGCCCCACCUCCACAAAUGUCAGUCUUUUCCUCUUAGAAAUGCAUGAAAAUACUCACUUGGUUGUAUUAGAGCAGCAGAACUGUGGGAGAUUUGUUCCUUUAUCUAUUUUCCAAUGUAAAAAAAUGCGAUUCUAUUAUUUUUCUAAUGACAAAAUGAAAAUUAUCUAGGAAGAA